GCGACCUCAAUUGAGGCAAGAUUACUCGCUGAACUUAAGCAUAUCAGUAAGCG
rnacentral:rRNA from 1 species